UUUAUGGAGAGUUUGAUCCUGGCUCAGGAUGAACGCUGGCGGCGUGCCUAAUACAUGCAAGUCGAGCGAACAGAUAAGGAGCUUGCUCCUUUGACGUUAGCGGCGGACGGGUGAGUAACACGUGGGUAACCUACCUAUAAGACUGGAAUAACUCCGGGAAACCGGGGCUAAUGCCGGAUAACAUGUUGAACCGCAUGGUUCUACAGUGAAAGACGGUCUUGCUGUCACUUAUAGAUGGACCCGCGCCGUAUUAGCUAGUUGGUGGGGUAACGGCCUACCAAGGCGACGAUACGUAGCCGACCUGAGAGGGUGAUCGGCCACACUGGAACUGAGACACGGUCCAGACUCCUACGGGAGGCAGCAGUAGGGAAUCUUCCGCAAUGGGCGAAAGCCUGACGGAGCAACGCCGCGUGAGUGAUGAAGGUCUUCGGAUCGUAAAGCUCUGUUGUUAGGGAAGAACAAAUGUGUAAGUAACUGUGCACAUCUUGACGGUACCUAACCAGAAAGCCACGGCUAACUACGUGCCAGCAGCCGCGGUAAUACGUAGGUGGCAAGCGUUAUCCGGAAUUAUUGGGCGUAAAGCGCGCGUAGGCGGUUUUUUUUUUAAGUCUGAUGUGAAAGCCCACGGCUCAACCGUGGAGGGUCAUUGGAAACUGGAAAACUUGAGUGCAGAAGAGGAAAGUGGAAUUCCAUGUGUAGCGGUGAAAUGCGCAGAGAUAUGGAGGAACACCAGUGGCGAAGGCGGCUUUCUGGUCUGCAACUGACGCUGAUGUGCGAAAGCGUGGGGAUCAAACAGGAUUAGAUACCCUGGUAGUCCACGCCGUAAACGAUGAGUGCUAAGUGUUAGGGGGUUUCCGCCCCUUAGUGCUGCAGCUAACGCAUUAAGCACUCCGCCUGGGGAGUACGGUCGCAAGACUGAAACUCAAAGGAAUUGACGGGGACCCGCACAAGCGGUGGAGCAUGUGGUUUAAUUCGAAGCAACGCGAAGAACCUUACCAAAUCUUGACAUCCUUUGACCGCUCUAGAGAUAGAGUUUUCCUCUUCGGAGGACAAAGUGACAGGUGGUGCAUGGUUGUCGUCAGCUCGUGUCGUGAGAUGUUGGGUUAAGUCCCGCAACGAGCGCAACCCUUGAACUUAGUUGCCAUCAUUCAGUUGGGCACUCUAAGUUGACUGCCGGUGACAAACCGGAGGAAGGUGGGGAUGACGUCAAAUCAUCAUGCCCCUUAUGAUUUGGGCUACACACGUGCUACAAUGGACAAUACAAAGGGCAGCGAAACCGCGAGGUCAAGCAAAUCCCAUAAAGUUGUUCUCAGUUCGGAUUGUAGUCUGCAACUCGACUACAUGAAGCUGGAAUCGCUAGUAAUCGUAGAUCAGCAUGCUACGGUGAAUACGUUCCCGGGUCUUGUACACACCGCCCGUCACACCACGAGAGUUUGUAACACCCGAAGCCGGUGGAGUAACCAUUUUGGAGCUAGCCGUCGAAGGUGGGACAAAUGAUUGGGGUGAAGUCGUAACAAGGUAGCCGUAUCGGAAGGUGCGGCUGGAUCACUCUUU
rnacentral:rRNA from 1 species